UACGUAGGGUGCAGGCGUUAAUCGGAAUUACUGGGCGUAAAGCGUGCGCAGGCGGUUUGCUAAGACAGGUGUGAAAUCCCCGGGCUUAACCUGGGAACUGCGCUUGUUACUGGCAAGCUGGAGUGUGGCAGAGGGGGGUGGAAUUCCGCGUGUAGCAGUGAAAUGCGUAGAGAUGCGGAGGAACACCGAUGGCGAAGGCAGCCCCCUGGGCUAACACUGACGCUCAGGCACGAAAGCGUGGGGAGCAAAAGGG
rnacentral:rRNA from 1 species